UGGCUCACGAUGAACGCUAACGGCGCGCUUAACGCACGCAAGUCGAGCGAUGAGGCUCCCUUCGGGGAGUACAUCAGCGGCAGACGGGUGAGUAACACGUAGAUAACCUGCCCUCAAGACGGGGACAACCGGUGGAAACAGCGGCUAAUACCCGAUAUGCUCACAGGAUCGGGAGAUCGAGUGAGGAAAGCGCCCCUUCGGGGGAGAGUGUUUGAGGAGGGAUCUGCGGCCCAUCAGCUAGUUGGUGAGGUAACGGCUCACCAAGGCGAAGACGGGUAGGGGGUGUGAGAGCAUGGCCCCCCACAAUGGGACUGAGACACGGCCCAUACUCCUACGGGAGGCAGCAGCGGGGAAUAUUGCGUAAUGGACGGAAGUCAGACGCAGCGACGCCGCGUGGGUGAGGAAGGCCUUCGGGUUGUAAAGCCCUUUUCAGGGGAGCGAGAAAGGACGGUACCCUUGGAAUAAGCGUCGGCUAACUACGUGCCAGCAGCCGCGGUAAGACGUAGGACGCAAGCGUUAUCCGGAUUUACUGGGCGUAAAGCGCCUGUAGGCGGUCAAGUAAGUCGGAUGUGAAAGCCCCGUGCUCAACGCGGGGAAGCCAUUCGAUACUGCGUGACUAGAGAACGGCAGAGGGAAACGGAAUUUCUGGUGUAGCGGUAAAAUGCGCAGAGAUCAGAAAGAACACCGAUGGCGAAGGCAGUUUCCUAGGCCGCAUCUGACGCUGAGAGGCGAAAGCUAGGGGAGCAAACAGGAUUAGAGACCCUGGUAGUCCUAGCUGUAAACGAUGGAUGCUAGGUGUGGGCCGGAAAGGUCCGUGCCGUAGUUAACGCGAUAAGCAUCCCGCCUGGGGAGUACGGCCGCAAGGCUAAAACUCAA
rnacentral:rRNA from 1 species